AAUAUAUUCCUCCGUCCAACGGAAAAUGUCUCGAGUUUAUUAAAAUUUGGAUGUAUCUAGAUGUAAUUUAGUGUAUAGAUACAUUCAAAUUUAGUUAAAGUUGAGACAUUUUUUUUGACGGAGAAAGUAUUUG
rnacentral:pre_miRNA from 1 species